rnacentral:lncRNA from 1 species
AUGCACAAAGUUGUCACCUAUUCUCAUUGAAGAACAGCUUAAGGAAGAAGUUGAUGGUCUUUUCCAACAAAACAUAUAGAAAAGCUCUUUCAAAGGGUUGCCAUUGCCAUAGUCAUUUUCAAUCUCUCUAUUGAUUAUUCUCUUCUUCCACCAUAACAAGUAGUAAACUUCAGCUACUAAAGCCAAUAAAAGGCAACCAAAAACAAUACUUAAACCAAGUCCUACGCUACUCAAAGAUUUCAUCUUUGUUCUCGAAUCAAACUUAAACUCCAAAUUCGAAUCCUGACUCAAACAAUUUUUUGUCAGACUUUACUUGCCCGUCAAAUUCGCGAAUUCCAAAUUACCAGGGCACCCUUGCGUACUUAGAAUCAAAAGGUUAAGAUAAACAAAUUCAAACUUAAAACACAACUCACUUAGCCUCUAAUGAUGUUCAUUGGCCAAAUUAACUAACAUCUAAUCUAUAUAGUCAUAUAAAAUUGACUAGUGAAAUACCAAAAAUAAAAAUUACAAUGAAAUUUCAACAAAGAGAAUGACACAUAUUCAAGAGUACAUGAAAAAGCUUACUUGAGUAAUUGACUUAAUCUAAACCCUCUAUGCUUAGAUUUUGAACUCAAGCAUGCAAAUCUGGAUAUUCCUUUUGACUUGAAGAAAAUUCAAUGUAAACCAAUAUUGUUUAGACAUAAAAACAAACACCUUGUGGGCAAAUUGAAAAAGAUUCUCAAAAACACCAAUCUGCAAAAUGGGCCAACCAAAAAAAGCUCCUUUUCUCUAUUGAAAGCAACACUUGCAAAUCAUAAGCUUGAAACUUUAGCUUUUAGCUUUUAACCACACUUUACAUCAAGCACUUCCUUAUGGAUUAGACCCAUCAUUAUAUAGAAGCAUUUUUAUUAACCAAAACCAGUUUAUGGUAAAACCACGAGCAGGAAAAUUACAAGAGAAGUUCAAGUGAGAGAGUGUGUGUUUGAGAGCAAUGAACCUGUCUGGCUUAUGGUUGGAUGGUCUCUUCCUUCGAGAGAGGCUCACAUGGGAUCAGAAAGAAAAGGAAAAUGACAAGUCAAU